rnacentral:lncRNA from 1 species
UUUAGUUAAGACAUAAAGCAUACAUGUUAUCAUAUAUAAACUUGACUAGCCAUUCCAAUAGCUAAUCAUUUACAAACCCUUUUCUUACCAAACCAUAACCAUAUCAUAUGAUCAUUUACACAAAGUGAGUAUAGUACUAUACAUGCCACAUUCAAAAUAUACAAGCCAUUUUACCAAUUUAGGUCUUCGGAUAGUGUGAACGAGCCUUUGACCUAUCCCGAUUCUCAAGCCGGCUUGUCAAAACUACAAUGAAUGAAAAGGAGGGAGUAAGCAUAAAUUCUUAGUAAGUUCACAUGCAAAUAACAAGUAACAUAAUCAUGCCAUUCAACAUAAACAUUAUUUGCAUAAACAACACCAAGACAUUCAUGUUACAUUUGCAUUUAAUAUCUUACUACAAUUUCAUCAUACUAAGUUCUCAACCCGAGGGUUUAAACACAUACCUGUCAAAUUUUCUUAUUCACCACACUUACCAACAUGUCACCUUUGUAUUAGGCAUUCUCCUUAUUCUAUUAAAGAUCUCUCGUUGAACACAUCGGAAUAUGAUUUCGGAUACACGAAUAAUGUGCACAUAAGUGCUAUACUCAUAGCUAAACAAGCUCAAUAGCUUUUGAAAUCUAUGUAGCCAAGCUACCAUGUAACCCGCCCAUAAACAAACUCGGACUCAACUCAACGAGCUCGGGCGUUCGCAUCCAUAAGUGAACUCGGCCUCAACUUAACGAGUUCAGACGCCUAGUAACAUCUCACGAACUCGGACUCAACUCAACAAGUUCGGAACUCAACCAUCCUAGUGACAUGUCACUUGUACCCUAAUCUAUUCCCAAGGUUCAAAUGGGAUUCUUCUCAAUUUUACAUUUUGAUCACCUUCUUCGAAAUGUAAAAACCGAUACUUGCUAACAUCUCAUACUUAUCAAGUUGUUCACAUAAUUUGCAUAUUACCAAAUAAUAAUUCACAAAGCACAAUAUUUCAUGAUAAUAAAUAUCAUAUCAUACAAAUAUCAUUAAAUCACUUAAAAUAAAAUUAUGUUACCUUAUUUACACAUGAACUUACCUCGAUACAAAAUAUUAGCAAUCGAGCCUAUUCCUCGUAAACUUUCUUUUUCCCUCGAUUGCAACUUGAAUCUCGUUUCUCUUGAUCUAUAAUGCCAAAUUAAUUUAUUUAAUGCAUUCAUUCAUCAAAAGAUCCCCUAAUACGAACUUUGGCAAAAUUACCAUUUUGCCCUAAACUUUCACAUAUUUGCACUUUUGCCCCAAGGCUCGUAAAUUAAACAUCAUCCUAUUUUCUUAUGUUUUAUGACAUGCUGAUCAUUUUUCCCUUCUAUGGCAACAUCAAAUUCACACUCUAACAUGUACUUAUGAAUAUUAGGUAUUUUUACUGAUUAAGCCCUUUUACUCGUUUUCACUUAAAACCGAGUAGCACAAGUUGUCUAACAUAAUUUAAAACCUCAUAUUCUAUCAUAAAACACCAAAAUACACAAAUUUCACCUAUGGGUAUUUUUCCAAAUAUGAACCCUAGGUUGAAUUAUUGCUAGCAUAAGCUAAAUCGAGCUACCGGGAUUUCAAAAACAUAAAAAUCAUUAAAAACGGGCAUAGAAAUCACUUACAAUCAAGGCUUAAAAGUGUUGAAACCCUAGCUAUGGUGGAGAGCAAAAUUUGGCAGCAACUUAUGGAGAAGAUGAUCAUUUUUGUGUUAGUUUUCCCAUUUUAUUUCAUUUAAUAUCCAAAUGACCAAAAUGCCCUUCCUUACUAAACUUUCAAAAAUUCCAUCCAUGUCCAAUUUUUGUCCAUAAACUUAGAAAUUGGUCAAAUUUCUAUUUAAGACCUCCUCAUUAAUAUUCCAAAGCAAUUUCAUACUAAAAACUUCUAGAAUGCAAGUUUUACAAAUUAUUCGAUUUAGUCCCUAAUUUCAACUUAAGCACUUUAUGCAUAGAAUUUUGUCACGAAAUUUUCACACAAUCAUGCAAUCAAAUCAUAAACCUCAAAAUAAUUAUAAAAUAAUUAUUUCUAUCUCGGAUUUGUGGUCAUAAAACUACUAUUCCGAUUAGGCCCUAAUUCGGGAUAUUACAGAAACACUACUGGAAAUAUCCUGAGGAUUGUACCCAAGGAAGGUUGAAUUAAACGAAAAUUAAUUUUCUACACUAACAAGGUUAGAUAGUAAUAAUCUAAAAUUAUGUUACGAAAAAUCAAAAUAAAAGUAAUUAAUCGAAAUAACUUAAAUUAACUAAAAUUAAAGACAACCAAUUAAUAAUCAAAAUUAAUCCAAUAAACUAGAUUGAAGAUUAACUCACUUCAAUGUUCCUAAUUAACUUGGAAACUCGGGUUUUAUCGAGUUAGCUAUUAAUUAAAUAGUUAUUAUCUCUCAACUAAUUAACUAAUCAACCAAUACACGUUUAUCUAUCGACUUCACUUUCUUGACGGAGAUAAAUUAUGAUUUACUCAGUAAACUUAUUUCUCAAUCUCGUUUAUCCUAAAUUAUUUCCUAAUGUCGUCAAUCUUAGGGUUUCAAUCUUAGGGUUUAAUCACACAUAAUUUAAACCAACCAACUUGGACUCAAACCUAAUUCCUUCGUUAAUUAUUCACACAUUCCUUCAUUAAUCUUGCCAAGGAAACUAGCCACUCAUGAAUCUAGAUGCAAUUAUCUCUAAUUUUAUAUUUAACAUGCAAAGCAAAAAAUCAAAUAAGAGAAAAAAAUAAGAGAAUAAAUUCAUUUCGAUCUCAAUUUGGGAACGAAAGUCAGAUUUCCUUUAAAAAUUGUGAAGAUAUCUCCAAUUGCAAUAGAAAAUCAAAAAGAAAUAACUAAAAAUCACUUAAAUAAAGACUUGGAUCAAAAUCUAAUCUAAGUUAAACAAAAACUAUUUAGGACUAAAUUGAAAUAAAAGAAAAACUAAAAACCUAAACCUAACUAAGUGGCUCAAUUGGCUAAACCUCCUAAAAUGAGGCUAAACACACCUAUUUAUAGUAAAAAAUGCCUAAUCUAAUUAGGUUAAUUAUGGCCUUCAAAACUUAUAAUUAUUUAUUGUGCAGACUAAAAUACCCUUGAUUAAUUAGGUAUGUUCAUAGCCCGGUGUCGCGACACUACCUUUCAAGUCUAAAUUAUUUAGCUUCAAAGUCCGAUGUUGUGACACCACGCCCGGUGUUGCGACACUGUCAUCAUUUGUUCUACACACUCAAGUAGCUCGUUAGUUCAUCCUUAUGCCUAUAUUGGCCCAUUAGGUCAUCAUAUGGUUAAAUUUUGCGUAAAAAUGCUUAUUUUGAGAAAAUUAUACAUAAUCUACUAAAAUCGAAAACGUAAUAAAACCAUCUCAAAAAUGUAGAAAACAAGCUCAUUAAGUGCCGAAAACACUCUAAUUUGUCACAAUGAAUUGUGACAGAUCAUGACCAAAAUAGGAACGAGGCUAUUUUAGAGUGACAUGCAGUGUAGUUUAUUCAUUUAAAAAAGUGAAAAAAUAUAUCAUAGUAGUUAUAUUAAAAUAAAAGUUGUUAUAAUCAUAUUAAACUUGAAUUUAUUAUUUGAAAAAAGAAAUAUAUUAUAAUAAAAAGUUGUGAUAUUGUUAGCUUACAUUAAAUUGCGCAUAAGAUUUAGGAAAACGUAUAUUUACUGAUUGUGCAUAUUCCAAACAUUUUUUGUUACCUUACAUUAAACUUAUUUCAAAUUUGCAGCGAAAAAUCCAUAUUUUGUUUAGUUUUAAAACCAAGUUUUCUUUUAACAUAACAAAAAACAUGCAGAAAACUUAAGCUAAAUAACGAAACCCAAAAUCAAAAAUUAAAUCCAGAAACAUAGUCCAAAAUUAAAAUCCAAAACAUUUUUAUACCAAAUUGUAUGAACCGAGCUCCGGAAUCGCCGUCAAGUCCUAAGUCUGAAGGUUACCUGAAACGUAUUAAACAAAUGGGUGAGCUAGAAGCCCAGUGUGUGACUCGGCCCACAAACAGUAAAUACUUAUAACAAACACAAAUGUAAAUACCAUUACAAAAAUUUUACUUAUAAUGUACACACUGCCAGAAACAUAUGUCAGAUCGAAAUAUCAUAUUUUCAUAAUCAUAUAUUAGAACGGAAUUCAUAAUUUUAGAAUAAGAAAUCCCAAGCACAUUCUCUUAUAUAGAAUCAGAUGUAUUUCAUAAUCAGAUACAGAUGCAAUCACAGAUCCUACCCCAUCUGCUACACACCAACUCCGUCCAACCAAUCACACCAAAUAAGCCUACAAGAGUCCAUCCAUCCAAUCACACCGGGUCGUAGUGGUAUGCCACCCAUAGUAAUGCAACUAAGCUGCCAAGCAGAUAUUGCAGUUUAAUCGCUAAAAUUGUAGUAAAACUGCCAUAAAACACUUCUUCCAUCAUAUGCAAAACCUACCACAAUGCACAUGCACAAUCAUAACAACAUACGUACAUAUCACAUAAAUGGUAUGGCAUACAUACCUAAUCAUAUUUCUUACAGAUCAUAAUUAUCAAAUUGCUUAUACUAACAGUUAUUCUACAUAUAGAUGUUAUACACAUUUAUACACGUAAUUGUGCUUUCAAAGUUAUCAAAACAUAGAUCGUAUAUAAGUUUUUCACUUACUUUAGUCGUAUCACAUACUGAAAGAUGUCAUAUUUCGAGUCUUAUUUAAGCCUAACGAACCCCACGAAUGGUCUAAUUACUCAUUUUUAGUCAAACAGGUCUAAGUGAAAGUUUCCAAAAAAGGGCCCACACUCCCCAAUUAGCUAGUCGUGUGAACACAUGCACAUGUGGCCUACAUGACCCAAAUGGCCCAGACCGUGUCCACAUGGCCAUAUGACGUAGAAUAAUUUCAAAAAUAACCUCUGUUUUUGAGUUUUUCUGAGUUCCAAUUGAUGUUUAAUGUUAGAAUCACACACUUUCAUAUUCUUGGUGUAGCUUCACGAAUAAGUAGUUCAGUACCUAAACCGACAACUCACACAAAUUAAUUAACAUGAUUUUUGCUAACCCGGUUGACCAAACCAGUACAACCAUCAUCAAACGAACCUUAUUUAUAGAGCAAAGCAACUCUUACCACAGCAAAAAUUACUUACCCUUGUACGAAACAAAGGCCUAAAAAGAGAAUUUAGUUCAUCGGAGGAUCUACCAUCUCACGAUCUUCUCCUAAUUGCACCAAAGCAUACAGAACUAUAUUAGCAUCACCUACUUCGCAAAUAACUUAAUAAGCACUAAAAUAAACAUCACUAAAAAGAAACUAAAACCUUACCCAACCUCAAAAGCACUGUAUUAGGAUUAACAAAAAAUUAAAAAGAAAGGUUUGUGUGAUAGCCAUCUUUGGAAAAAGGUGAAGAAUAAAUAGAAAUUGCAAAAGGAAUUUUGAAAAUGAAAGAACAAAAAAAAAGGCAGAAAGAAGACAAAAGAACAAAGGAAAAGGGAACGUGGGCACAUAACUGGGAAAAAUUAAGGAAAACAACUUAUUGUUAUUUUAAAGGAUAGAAUAUAAUAAAAUAAAAACAAAUUCAAACUACCCACUACUACACUACCAAAUCCUCCUCUAGACGGAUUUUCCAAGAGUCCAAAACAAAAACAAUUUUUCCACUUUGCCUACUCAAGGAUUCGAACACAAAACCAAAAGGUAUACAUAAGCUUAACCACUAAACCACUAAACUCAUUGUUACCAUCAAAUGACUGAAAAUAAUUUAUAAAUCAGAUGUUCAAAGGUAAGGAUUUAGGCAAAAACAACAAAAUUAUAAGGCAAAGGAUUCGAACCCGAAAUCUCGCACACGCUACUCACAUCCCUUAACCGCUGAACCAAAUUAAUUUACUUGAUAAAAUUUUCACAAUCUUAACUAAAAAUCAGGACGUGACCACUCUUGAUUUCACUAACCCAAUUUCUUCUAACCCAGUUUUAGGGAUUUGACAAUAUUAGAAACAUCCUUAUUUAGAAUACGCUUCUUUUAUGUUUACCCGUCACCUUUUUUGCAUUUCGUCACUUCAUUAUUCACAGUCGAAUCAUGGUCUUGCAUAACACUUUUCUGUAGCCCAUGAAGACAUUGUGCCUUUCUAAUCAUACUUGCAAGCUAUAUUGAUUACGCCAAAAAUAGUUUAAUGCAGAAUCUGCCACAUGAAUCAUUUCUUUAGGGUACGCCAUUGAGAGCCUCACUAGGAUACGUCAUAUGGGCACUGCUUUCAGACUUCUCCAUGUAAGUUAUUCCUUCAGGUUUUCGUCAUAAAGGCUAUCACGUCAAAAUUUGCCACACAAGCUAUUUAUUCAUAGUUCACCACGAAGGCAGUUCUUAAUAGUGUGCCAUGAAGGCAUUUCAUAUGGAAUUUUCCAUAAAAGCUUUUCUUUCAUAUUUCGCUAUAGGCUUUUCUUUCAUAUUUCGCCACAAAGGCGUUUCUUUCCUGACAUGUUUACGAUAUGGAUUUUCCUAGGCUCACGUUAAGGGAGGUUUGCCCAUCAUUGUCCUAGGACACACAGGAAACCCCAUUGGGUAAUAACCUUCCUUUUGUUCCUCUUCAGAGGGUGUCUUGGUCAUGGGCUUUUCCUUCAAGAUUCUUAUCAGAGAUCGCGUUUUUAGUUCCGUCGGACACCUUUAGACUCCACCGCGGUGAACAAACAUAGACUCACUAGACAAACUCAUCAUACACCGACAUCAUUUAAGACUCAACACUUCAUACAUUAACUCUCUUUGCAUAUUUACCAUAUAUGCCCAUACAACCAUGCUUCAACAUUGGAAUUCUUAACACUUACUUAAACUUGACAUAUUCCACAUAAACUAUACAUGUUAUUCUCAACAAACAUUCUCACUAUACUUUUCUGAUUUCAGUUUCAUAGUUCAAACAAUUUUCACAAAAGCAUCCCAUGUGAACAAUACACAUGCAAGAGUCAAUUUAGGGACUCACCUGAUUCUCACUUACUGCAACUGAAAACUCCAAAUCCAGAUUGUCAUCGCUAAAUCAGUAGCAUCUACUGCUAUAGAACAUGGAAACCCAUCAAGAUCUAUUCAUAUACCCCUUUUUUUCAUCACUUCUAACAUUGGAAAUCCCCUAGCAAGGCCUUGUAACUUCAUCUUACUGAUUUACUAGAUCCAACACUUACUCUUUCACAAUAUAAUAGGUAGAGUCAUAAAUCUUACCUUGACACAGAGUAAUCACUGGUGAAGAUCUAAAUCUACAACUCCAACUUGAAGGAGAAAGAAAUAUUGUAAGUUCUUUAAGAUUUAUGUAACAAUACUUCUUGAGGAAGGAAGAAAAAAAAACUCUCCCUUUUCUAACCUGGAUAUCUAUAUAAACAACCUAAACCCUUAUUAGAACCUGACAUGUGUCUUAAACUUUCAAAAUUGCCUUUAAAAAAAUGGUUUAUAGUUGUAAAUGGAAACUCAAUAUUUUAUAUUUCUGGUCCAACCCUUCAUUCCAUCCUAACUACCUCAUUAGUACGUAACUAACUUGAUAACCCAAUGAACUGGGCAUACAAUACCUUUGGUGGUAACCCAACUCACCAAAAAUCCUCAUUAUUCUUACAAAUCUCUUCUUCUUUACAACUCAACACAUUCAGAGAACAAUCAUUGCAUAAUACUCCAAUGUCAACUAUGCGUCCGAUCUAUACGACGAAAGCAUCAAUUGGACGGAUAGGACUUCUCCACUCAACUACUUUCAAGUAACUUGCCUAACUCAAGACCCACCAAAACUGGGUGUUAUAGAGUUAAAUUAAUCUAGGGCUCUUAAGUUUUUCUUAUUUUAAAUGGGGAGUUAAUUAGCAUGAGAAAGGGACAAAAAAAAUCCCACUCAAAAUCAGAGGUCCUUAACCCACAAAUUUCCUUUUUUCUAUUUUUUUUCUUCUUACUCAACCAUUGCACCGUUGCUACACCACUGCUACCCAUCUUGAUCGAUCUAUGUGAUUUCAUCCUAGCCUCUCGCUUGUCCCAACCCUUCACUGCUCACUAUCGCAGCUUUUUACCCAAGUCGACUAUCCCAACCUUGGCACCGUCAUUCUUACCCUAUUGUACCUCCAUCACCACCAAACCCAUUUCAUCUAACUCAAGGCAACCUCCAUCCUUUCUUUUCCUUUUUUUAUUUAUAUUUUAUUUAUUAAUUAAUUUAUUUAUCUAUUUAUUAUUUAUUAUUACUAUUAUAGACAUUAUUUUCUUCCUUUUGUAUUACUUUUUUUUAUUUUGUAGCUAACUAUUAUCAAGCAAUUUUUUGAAGUUUUCAUCACCAGCAAUCAAGUGUUUUGGGUUCUCCAACAACGGAAUGUGCUUUUAUAAGGGAUACGAAUUUUCCCAUGUUUUAUUUUAUUUUAUUUAUUUAUUAUUUUUUUAAAAAUGAUUAUCCUAAUCUCUUGCAUUUUCAAUUUAAUUCAACUUUGAAAUUUUAAUUUUUUAAAUAAAAGUUUACCAUUUUAUUUCUUCUUUACCUUUUAAAAUAUCAAUUUUAAUCCUUAUUUUUAAACUCUUAAUUUUUUGAAAUUGCAAAUGUGUCUCCAAAUCACUUUGUUUAUCAUAUUGUCAUUAAUUCUAAGGUUCCAUAUUUUAUGUAUACUGGUAAAGUCAAUUUUAUUUUCAAUUUUUUAUUUUGAUGUAUGUAUAUGAUGUAUAUCACUUUUUAUGGAUGUAUGCUUAGUAUGAUUAAUAUGUAGCUUAUAAAUAUGAUUUAUUUAUAAUUGUCGAUUCUUAAAAUAAACUUGAUGUAUUGAAUUUAUGUACGAUAUAUAACUCUUAUUUAUGUAAUGCAUGAUAUAUAUAUAUAUAUGUGUGUGUGUGUGUCACAAUCAUUUAUGAUGGUAAAUUCUUUCGUUUAGGAUAAUAAGCAUGACAAUUUUAUGUAUAUUUUUAUGAUUGUCUUGUGAUUAAUAUUAUUUUAUGUAUAUCUUUAUGUAUUUUUUUGUAUAUAUUUAUGCAUAACUCUUUGUAUAUUCUUAUGUAUUAUUUUAUUAUAUUGUUUCUUUAUUGUCAUAGGUAUUUUUAUGUACAUUUUUAUGGAUAUAAUUUGUAUAUUUUCACUUAUAAAUUUGUAUAUAUUUUUAUGUAUAUUUUUAUCUUUAAUUUAUAUAUAAUUUUUAUGAACAUUGUUUAAAUUGAUUAUGAGAUAACAUAAUAUUAUUGUAUUUUUAAAAAAUUCUAUAAGUCACUUAGUUUUUGUGAAACUAGAACUCUUAAAACCGUUUCUUUUGUAAUUGUGAAUAUUUUUCAUAUUUAUCAUGAACUAUUAUAAAAUUGUUGCAUGUUGCUUUACUUAAUCUUUUUUAUUCUAUUUUUUCAAAUUAAUAUUAUAAUUCACUUUUUAUAUAGUUCCAAAUUUGUAUAUUAUUUAUAAAUUAAAAGAAAAUAUCAUUAACAAAAAAAAUUAUAUUAUCAAUGAUAGGUAACAAUAAUUAAAAAUGCAUUAUUUAAUAAUUAUGAAUUAAAUGCUUGAAAUCAAAUGCAUGUGCAUUAGAAACUAGUAAGCAAAACCCAUGACAAAAAAAGAAACUAAAACCCUUGGCUAAGAAUGUAAAUAUCACUUAACUGAUAAACUAUAAUAAUGAUUUUUCAAGUGAAAUAAAACGUACUGUCCUUAAAAAUGAAAUCUUGAUAUAUUUGGUUAAAUUAGCUUAAUAUGUUACGGUCACGGAAAAUUGAGUACUUCACUUUCACUUUGCCAUAGUAUAACUAUGGUCUUACGUAUGAUCACUUAUCACUUGUCCCUGAUCAGAUAAGUGUAGCCACCUAUCACUUUGUUUCUUGAUCAGAUAAGUGUAGCCACUUAUCACUUUGUUUCUUGAUCAGAUAAGUGUAGCCACUUAUCACUUUGUCUCUUGAUCAGAUAAGUGUAGCUAAAGCUAUCACUUAUCACUUUGUCUCUUGAUCAGAUAAGUAUAGCCGAAGCUAUCACUUAUCACUUUUCACUUGUCACUUGAUCAGAUAAGUGUAGCCGAAGCUAUCACUUAUCACUUUGUCACUUGAUCAGAUAAGUGUAGCCGAAGCUAUUACUUAUCACUUUCCACUUGUCACUUGAUCAGAUAAGUGUAGCUAAAGCUACCACUUAUCACUUUAUCACUUGAUCAGAAGUACUCAAAUCCGGCGUUCCGCUCAAUUUGAUCAUUUAUUCAUAUAUCAGGCUUACCAACAUGUGUUAAUUCAUAAACCAUUCAUGGUAUUAUUUCAUGCCAAAUCAUAUACUGAAUAUACCAUACACACAUACUAUGAAACUUUAUUUUCACACAUGAGCUUAAACCAUGACCAAUAAUGCACAAAAAUAAGCAUCAUUCAUAUUUCAUCGUUUAUGAGUUAUAAUCAAACAUAUGACCAUUUAUACACGAAUCAUUCAUAUAUUUCCCAAUUUUCCUCCUCCUCCUCUCCAUUCCACAUCCUUAAUGUGUAUAACACACUUAAACAACAUUAACCAUAAUUUCAAUAUUCACUAACAUGUAUAUUCAAAGCUGUUUAUCCGAGUCAGAGUCACUAAAUUAUUUUUAUCCGGAGCUAAAGAGCUCCAAAUUAAGAUCCGUUAAUUUUCCCUGAAACUAGACUCACAUAUCUUCAUACCAUAAAAUUUUCAUAAUUUUUGGUUUAGCCAAAUAGUACAGUUUAUUCUUUAAAGUUUCCCCUGUUUCGCUGUCUGACAGUUCCGACCACUCUUCACUAAAAAUUAAUUAUCUCAUUGUACAGAAUUCGGAUGAUGUUUUAGCUUGUUUCUUCUAAAAAUAGACUCAUUAAGGAUUCUAACCAUAUAAACUAUAACUCAUAAUAAUUUCUGUAAAAUUUUUAAUGAUUUUCCAAAGUCAGAACAGGGGAACCCGAAUUCAUUCUGACCUUGUCUCACAAAAUCUAUUAUAUCUUAUGAUUUACAAUUUCAUUGCUCACAUCAUUUCUUUUAUAAGAAACUAGACUCAAUAAGCUUUAAUUUCAUGUUUUAUUCAUCCUCUAAUUCAAUCUCUACAAUUUUUAGUGAUUUUUCAAAGUUACACUACUGCUGCUGUCCAAAACUGCUUUAGUGCAAAAUGUUGAUUUCCAUUUUGCCCCAAAUUUCACAGUUUAUACAAUUCGGUCCUUUCUCAAUUAACCCCUCAAUUAAUCUAAUUUUCUCAAUUAGUACUUUACUAGACAUUAUAAGUUGUUACACAACUAUUGAAAUUCAGAAUUUCCACAUAUAACUCUAUCUUCAAACUCUUUUACUAUUAGGUCCCAAACAUUCACUUUCUAUUCAAUUCUUUCAAUAAAAUCAGCAUAUGAACAAUUUAAAACUCUAAUUUCAUGCUAAAUCAUCAUAUACUUCCAGCACAUAUUCAUAUCAACUUUCAACUUCUUUCAUAAAAUCAAAAACUAAUGAAUUUAACAAGUGGGCCUAGUUGUAAAAGUCAUAAAAAUACAAAAAUUUCAAGAAAUAGUCAAGAAUUGAACUUACUUGUAAUAAAAAUAUGAAGAACCAGCUUGAAGAAGCCCUUCCAUGGUGUUUUAGCUGAUGAGAAUUCAGA